rnacentral:sRNA from 1 species
GCCAGGCAUGAUAGUGCACACCUGUAAUCCCAGCCACUUGGGAGGCUGAGGCAGGAGGAUCAUGAGUUUGAGGCCAGUCUGGGCCAAUUAGUGAGACCCUGUCUCAA